UGUGUUCUGAAGAACUAUCAGUCAGGGCAGGGCUUAGGCUCCCACAAUCCUUAGUCCCACCCUUAGCCUUGCAUUUCAGCUCAGUGGGCAGAAGGGAAUACCUUUCAGCUGUUCUCAGCUCUGCUGCUGCGUUUGUACCACAGGCUUCCAACAGCACCAUGAAGUUGGUGGGCUUCCUUCUCCUUGUGGCCAUCAUCACCCUCAGCGCAGAGGUACAGGAGCUUCAGGCUUCGGUGGUACCCUUGAAACUGUUGGGCACCUGCGUUGAGCUCUGCAGCGGUGACUGGGACUGUGACCUAGGGGAGCACUGCGUCAGCAAUGGGUGUGGCCACAUCUGUGCUACAGACUAAGGACAGAUGAAGACUUAUCUUAAGGGUCAUCCUUCUCUGAUAAUUGAUCACCUCGCCCUAGAAUUCCUAUCUUCAAACAUGUGGCUGUUUGGAGCUCCUUGCACAGGAAGACAGAUGAAAAUGGGGGCCUGUGGAUGAAGAUUAUAAGGGAUGUGGUGGAGAAGGAAAAAAAAUCUGUUCCUCUUAAUAAAUCAGUAUUGUAAAAAAAA